AGGGGGGUUCCUGACCCCCUGUCAGGGUCCCAGGCCUUCCAGGGCAGCCAGAGGGGAGCCCUGGAUUCCCACGUUCUAUCUGACCCUCCAUAUUUUAGUGGUGUGGUGACAGAGGUGUCAAUGGGGGUGUAUCGCAGUGCUGACCUGUGCUGGUCUAGGCUGGGCCCUGGUGAGCCCAGCUAACAGAAAUUCAGUGGUAGUGUUAAGAUACAUGCAAAUCUAUUCCUGCAGGUUUUUCUCAAUUGCAAUCCUAGCUGCUGUGGGGUUUUACUGAAAUUUCCUUCUGUUGCAGUACCUAACUUAAGUCUACUAAGGUGAAGUUUGUAGUCUGCUUUCUAGAUCACUUAAGACCCGUGGCAAAAUUAACUAUAUUGGUUUAGUUAAUUGUACUCAUCCAAGAAACAUUGGUAGCUCCCCUGGGUCACUACAGCAAUUUCUUUCAUGCUGUAAAAUGUUUACCUCUCUAGAGUAAAAAUGUCUAAGCUGUCGUUAUGUGACUCUACAGCUCCACACCAAUAAAGGCUACCUGUGCCUUUAUCUUUUUUAAGCUAGUAAGAAACUGCCAAAUUAACUGGAAUAGUUCCAGAGCCUGAUUUCUAAUUUUGUUUUCAUUGUUUUUGAUUUGAUGUUACAUGAUUGAUAGCAACUUUUUGUACUUUGGGAAUCUUGCUCUCUUUGACUGUACUGGUUAGCUUCUGCUUUUUUUCACAUAAGAAGUCAGCCAAGCUAAGUCUUUCCUUUUGAUUCAUGCAGGUUGUAAGGUCAGUUCUGGUAGGUAUGAUUUGCUAAUGAAUUCAUGCUCCAUUUCUCAGCUGGCUGGUUCUGCAAGUAGGCCUGGACAAAUACAUUGACAUUUGAAUUUAAGGUGACAUUGAAACUUAGGUUAAACAACAUUUGAGAAUAGAUUCAGAAAACCAAAAGAAAUAUUAAGUAGAAUAAAUAAAAACACUUUUAUAAUAAGAGCAUAUUAAAUAUGUAUAUGUGUAUGUAUAUAUAUCUUUAUGCUGGAGAUUACAAAGUUUAUAUAAUUUCAUAUAUGUCAGCAUCAAUCUGAGGGAUUCUUCUGUGCUCCAAAGAAAAGGGAAAAGUCAAGCACAAGCAAAGGAAGGGAAAGAGUGUCAUGUGGCAAGCAGCAUUUCCAGUGUAUUCAUUCCUAAUGUGGUAAGUGCCAGCACAGAGGUGACUUAGAGGGUCACUACUGGGUGUCAUUUCCCUGGGGCACACCAGGGGUGGGACAGAACACAGGCAGAACUGAGAACAUCUCUCCCCCUUUCACCACAAGCCACCCUAAUUGGGUCAUUUUAGCCAGGUGAAGUCUAGUCUGGAAUAACUUUCCUACUCCUCUAAUAGGGAGAAACUAGAAUUUGAAUCCUAGGCUGCAGCUGAUCCUUCAGCAUCCACCACAACUACGCCUGAAACUGGGAAUGGAUUCUAAAGGCAGGAUCUCUCUGUACUUAGUCUGUUUUUUACAAUUAUUGACUCAUCAUUGGGAAAUUUUUCUUUGGUUCAGAAAAGGUCAUUCCAACAGAUGAUACAAGGAUAUGGGCCAAGGCACUACCAGGGGCUUCAGCUUUGGCUGAAUUUUCCAGUUUUGAUUUGUACUUCCUGUGUGAGCGCACUCAAGGUAUUUCAUUCAUCCAUGUCUCCAUCCACUCUGAGGUGAAACACAAUGUGCCAUACUGCUUCAUUUUUACUGUGAUUUGUUUGUAAACAGCUCGGGGGAAAAAAAUCUGUCUCAUUAUUUCCUUUGGCAAUGUGUUCCCCAUCCUUAAAAUUAUUUUUGUCCUCUACAGUGUUAAUUGGAAGUGAUUAAUGAACUGGUGGCUUUUCAAAGGACACCAGCAUUGUGUGAUCCUUGGGAUGCAAAUGUGUUUCAGAGGUAGAAGGAAAAUAGGAAUAUCUGUGGGGCAAACUCCAAACUUUAUCUCAGCAUUCUCAGUGGUUCUCACCACUGAGAGAUUCUCAUAAUUCAUUUAGGGUACACCGGAAGUGUUGAGCUCACCCAAAGCACAAACUACAGGUUAAUUUCAAUGGUGAGAAGGCAGCAUCUCAUGGAUAGAACUGAAAAUUGUCUUUGACUCACUCCCUGAUCAGAGGACAUUCAAAACUACAUUUGCCACUUCCAAAGAAGGUUUCCUAAAUACCAUAUGGGAAUAAGAGUUAUUUUCUGCAUGUCAUAUUGAAGUCAUUUUCCUGCAGAAAGGAGAAAUCCAGAAAAUUUACUGAGUCAAAGAUAGAUGUAGAGAAAGGCAUGGAAAAAUAGGGACAUAAUGCUAGGGUGUAGAAACAGGACAACAGCAAAAGGGGACAGCAGUGCUUACUCUAUAGGAUGUUUCUGUAUUUUGUGUUAAAUGCAAAGUGAGUAAUAUAUGCUACUGUUAUCACCACCACUGUUACCUAGACAUAUUUUUUUCCUUUUGCCAGUCAUUAAAUGAAUGAAUGGCAUUAAAUUAAUGAAUGGCUGAAGAUAUGAAUGAAUUCUGAGAAAGAAAAUGAGAGGCUGUGCUUCAGGAACAGGCUCCAAACAGAAUGUCCCUCUUUGCUGCUGGUGCAUAGUGCCAGAGCAAGAGAAGAUUCCAUGUUUUUAGUUUGUUGCUACUUUCUAGUCCCCCCUACAGAGACCAGAAUCUGGACUCUGAACCCCCUACAGAUUGUGAGAAUCUGGCAUUUGAAAUGUAAAUGCUGUUGUGCCUAAUUUCUAACCACCAAGAUCUAUUGGGUUCUUAAUCCAUUCCAUGGAAUUAAAUUUUAAUCCCUUUACUCUCAGAUUUAAGGUAAUAAUCUGAGUUAUCUGGAAAAUCUCUGAUAUAAAACUCCCUUGAUUUUACAUAGAACACCCCACAGGUAAAGUUAUUUAACUUGCUCAAGAACACCUGGCCAAAAUUAAUUUUUUGGAAGAACUGGUAAUUAAAUUUCUUUGCAAUAAUUUGCCUGUAAAUAGGUAUGCAAAAAUCUUGAUUUUAGUGUCUCUGAAAUCACAGUAUUCAGUGUAGAUACAUUAAGGAAUUUCAGUGGAGCAUGAGAUAAGCUCCAAAAAUAUUGAAUCCUUUCGACUGCCACAUUUGUGCUAUCAUUCAGCAACUAAUUCCAUUUUUAAUGAUCUUGCCAAGAUGUUCAAACUACAUUAGUUAUGUCAAAUUCUUUGAUUGGUAUUUAAACUGUUUUCUCUUCCUUUCAAAAAGGUUGCCAGUUUAACUGCCCAAGUGUAAAACACAGUUGCAGAAGGGUUUAUGUGUGGUAAUGAGACACACUAAUCUUACCUGCUCAUUCAAUGUAGAUUCAGAUUUGUGUGUCUGAAAAUUGUAUAAUGUGUCUAAGAUUAGGAUAAUGACGUACUCUUGUUUGAAUUAUGCAGAAGUAGUGCAUUAAAAAAAAAUGCAUGGAUAUUAGUGUCAAAACUUCUUUUCUUUUAGUGGAUAAUAUCUUGAGGACAGGGGUCUUAGGUUCAAAUUAGGAUAAUUGCAACUAAUUGAAUGCAAUUUAAAAAGCAACAUCUUCUAGAAAUGGAGUCAGGUAAUGUGUAGUCCAAUACAUCUAGCAGAUGGAUUGUUGACUGCAAAGCAAUUAAUUUGAUGUUUCAGUGUCCUUUAUCUCUGUUCCCACACAGCAAAGUAAACAUGGAACUCCAAUGACACACAAUGUCAAGAAACAAGUAGGUGCUGGAAUUUUUUGGUGAUAUUAUCAUUCUCUGGCUUCUUUAAUCAAUCUUUACUCACAAGGUUCAAUUUUCAUUCCUUCUGGCACUUAACCACAAGCAAGACCAGAUCUCAUAUAAAUAGUAUUCAAACAAGCAUCUUACCAAAAUUAAAAGGUAGUUUUAAGCAUAGAAAUUAUGUAUAUUCAGUUGGUGUGGCAAGUCUUUAGUAGCAGGGGUGCCAGGGGUGACUUCUGACAGAAGAUGCUUAAAGAUUCCUGUGUCUGACAGAGCCAAUUCCAGCUGGCUUCAAGACCGUUGCCAGUGGUCGAGGCCAAGCCUGUCAGUAACAGUGGUAGUGUCUCACUGGUAAAAUACUUAAGAAGGCAGUAAAAAAACACUUCAAAACAACAACUGCAGUCAAAGAAGAGAGGAGUGAGAUUAUGUGAGAAACAACAUUGCAGACAGCAAGCUCAGUGAAGAAGGAGGGAGAGGGCUUUUUCCAGGAGCUGGAGCAGAGAUUUCCCUGCAGCCUGUGGUGCAGACCAUGGUGAGGCAGCUGUGCCCUGCAGUCCGUGUACUUCCACAGGGAGUAGAGAUCCACCUACAGCCUCUGGAGAAUCCCAUGCAGGAUCAGAUGGAUGCCCAAAGGAGAAGUCUACACUGGAGCAGGCUCCUGGCAGAACCUGUGGAUCCAUGGAGAGAGGAGCCUGUGCUGGAGCAAGCUUUCCGGCAGGUCUUGUAACUCCAUGGGGGACCAACACCGGAGCAGCCUGUUCCUGAAGGACUGCACUCCAUGGAAGAGUCCCAUGCUGGAGCAGGUCGUAAGGAACUGUGGCAAGAACUCACUUCGUGGAAGAUUGUCUUCUGUGAGAGGUAUCCCAUGCUGGAGCAGGGCAAGAUUGUGAGGAAUCCUCUCCCUGAGGAGGACAGAUUGGCAAAGACAACUUGUGAUGAACUGAACACAACCCCCAUUCCCCAGUCAGGAGUAAAGUUAAGGUUGGCAAGAGGGGAGAAGUUGGGGAAGGUGUUUUAAGAUUUGUUUUUAUUUCUCCUUAUCCUAUUCUAAUUUGAUUGGUAGUAGUCAUUUUUCCCCAAGUAAAGUUUUUUUUGCCCAUUACAGUAAAUGGUGAGUGAUCUCUCUCUGUCCUUAUUUUGACCCAUGAACAUUUUUGGUAUAUUCUCUCUCCUCUUGUCCAGCUGAGGUGGGAAGUGUUAGAGUGGUUUUAGUGGGCACCUGUUGUCUUUCCAGGGUCACCCCACCAGAAGCAAAUAUUCUGUUCAACCAGUUCUCAUUAACAAUAGCCUUGUUGGGAACCUAUCCAGUUUUAUUCAUUUUAAAGCAUAUCAGCUAUUGAUCAGAUUCAUUCAGUGAUCUGUGUCUUUAUGUGGCAGGAUACGCACUUGUGCAAACUCAUUAGAAAAUUUGGAAAUGAGCAACUAAGGCAAAGGGAUAGUGGCACUCCCUUCUGUGGUAUUGUUAUCCUUGUAUUUUCCCUCCUUGUCUGUAUGGAAAAGGACAAGCAGAAAGUGGUCUGGCCUAGCCCUGCCCAUGGCUUGAUUACAAGGAUUGUCUUUCUUAUGCUGGAUAUGUCAGAUCUCUUCUGGAACAAAAGGCUGAGUCUGGGUUUCCUAAGCACACCAGACUCAAGAGGACGGGAGUGUUAAACAAAGCUGUAGAGAGAGUAGGCAAUGAUACAGACCUGCUCAAUGUGCAGCUAUAUCUUUCUUUACAGACAAUGUUAUAUGCUGGGAUAAAUACUUGAAAUAGGCGUUAAAUAGGAGGCUGGCAGCAAUCAGUUGUCUUUGUCAAAAAAUAACAGCUCUCUGAGUUGAAAGGAGGAGGUUAGUUACCUGUUAAAGUAUCAGACUUAAGAAAAAUCACAGGAAGAAAAGGUGAGAUAAAAUUACAGAGGCAUGAAAAUAGCUGCUUUACCACUCAUUUCCCUCCUUCAAGGUAUAAACUCUACUGCAAUAAGUCCAUCGUUGAGAAAAGCUGGACUGUCUCUGUAAAGCCAGGUAGUUAUCAAAAGCUCUCCCACAACAGACCCUUUAACAACUCAACAAAGCAUAAUCAGAGAGGAAGCAAGAUAACCCACCACAAAUCAGCUGGUUUUAUGCUUCUUUUCCUGUCCCAUUAUUUGUGCCUGAGGACAUUUUAAAGACUGAUCACAGAGAUUUCUGGGAGAGGUGAGAAAGGUGCAAUAUCAGCAAGCCAGACAAGUGUACAGUUAUGUUUUGGAUGAAAAGCAGCAAGAUAUUGAGAUGUACUGAAUAUAUCCAACUGCAUAUGGUUCUUCUCUAAAUGGAAUGUUCUUACUUCUGACAUGUAGAGACCAAGAAAGAAGAUAUUUUGCAGAGCAAAAAAAUAUUCCUUUUUCUAGGGCAGAGUCUCUCAAAGAUGUCGUGAAUAUUCUCAGCAAAGGUCCAGGAUCCCAGGAGAUAAUUUGCAGCUCUUUAACAAGGAAAAGCUAUUUUUGUACAGAUUGCUAAUCAUAUUUCAAACUAGAACCACCUGCUGAAGACCGGCAGAAACAAAAGUGGAAGGAUUCUUAAUGUCCUAAUUUGGGAGGAGGUUAUAGCACAAUAUGAUUGAGAUCAAACUACCUCAUGCUUGAAAUCAAGAACAAACCACUCUUCUUUGACAAAAAAGCUCCUGGGAUUGGCUAAUAGAAGAUCUCUGCUGUGAAGCCCAUCUACAACAUGGCAGGGUCAUUGUUUCCCUCUGGCAAAGGAGAUUUUGUUUGCAACAGGUGAGGAUGAGUUGGUGGGAAUAGCAAGCUGUGCACAGUUGUAACUCCACCAACUUUGAGGGUCUUUGUCAGAGAACCUCACUCAGUGAUUCAUAUAAAAGAGGAUAAAAAACUGAUCUCUGGAAAGGAAGCACAGAAGACUUCUGAGCUUGUGCCAGACCCCAGUGAAAUCCAAGUGAGGGCUCAAGUGUUCCAUUGUUCUCCUUUCCUGUUAGAACAUGGAACACAAUGGGACAGCAGUCCUACUAAGAGCCUCUAGGGGCUACUGCAGUUCAAUAAAUCACAAUAUAUAAAAUUCAAACCCAGUUUUAAGUCUGAUAUGGACUGUGCUAAUCUCUGGUGUGCUAUCUUGGACUUCAGAAGAAUUACAUGCAAUGGAAUAUUGCCCACUGAGCCUUUGCUGACUGCUCUCACAUUGCCACGAAGGAUAAAGGAUCACAGUUGUCUUUUAUGUGAGAGUGCCUGAACUCCCAACAUCUCCAAGAGUGCAGGAAUGAAAGUGACUUCUUACCUCUGUCUUUUCAAUAGUUGAGAGGAAGCAUUGUCACUUUUGCAGCUUCCAGCUCAUGGUAUUUUCUGCUCGAAGAGAAGUUUAAGCAUAGCCAAAGGAUGUCUCUUUCACCUUAGAUAAUAUGCCACUUCUGUAAGGCCAAGAGGCUCAACAGGUAAAUGAGCAUGAAUUUUACAGAAUUCAGCUAUCUAAAUUAGACCAGUUGAGAUUCGGGUUGGAGAAAUCAAAAUCGAUUUGUUCUGGAAAGAAUGUACAGUCAACAAUUGACUGAAAGUUGCUUUUCUUGUAAAAGCAUAUCUUUGGCUUGAGGAUGUCAAAGAGUUUUCUUCUGAAUCUUUGUACUUUUUUGUGGUCCUAUUUGGAUGUUAAAUUCACCUUCACACUACUUAUUCACUUUCACUUGCACCUUGCUUUUAGACUGGGUGCUGAGCUGACAUGUCUACGGGAGGUGCCUGACACAUCCUAUGGCUGUCACUGAGCAAGACCGAGUGGCCUCUUUUUCUGCCCAUUGGUUUCUCAUACUUCAGUGACUCUCCUGUUCAUUUUUGGAAGGCCUUGGAGCUCUGCUUCACUUCCUACACAAACUAGCUUCUGCGGUUGAGUAGGCUGAAAGGUUUCGUGUCCAUUUUUCUUCCACAUUGCCCUCUCUUUAUGCAUUUUUCCUCCCUGUCCAGUGGAAACAAUUACUGAGUUAGGUGUUAGAAGUUUUCAAAUCCCAAAAAAUAAACAUGCAGGUAUGACUCCUUGACUUCUUUUCUUCUCCCAUUAAUAACACUAUCCCUUUCUCACUUAGUGGAAGACUUAUGCAUCAGCACUGCUGCCUGGCCAGUGUAUUUGGGAAAUGAAGUUUGGUGGAGAGGCAAAGUCCCCAACAAAGAAACAGAAUGGGAUCUGUGAAGUGCUGUGAUGGCUCUUCAGAAUUGAAGCAGUUUCUUUGUUUGCCUGCUCAGAUUUUCAAUGAAAAAUUGAAAUGUUCUGUGGGAAACAGAACCAUUUCAUGAAUAAUGCACCGCAACGGAAGGCUUGCCUCUCUGUUGCAAAACAGUUUGAUGUAAAACUUUCCAGUUUCUUCCAAUCAGGAAAAUGUAGAACUCUCUCUGUGCUGUCCUAGGGCUCAAAAGGCAACAUAGCUGUUGUCCUGUAUCUUCAGUAGCGAUAAAUGUUUGAUCAGCUUGUGUGCUUAAGAUAUAGGUAUGAGAGGAAGGAAACAAGGCCUAAUUUACUGGAAGUCCCCUUGAAUUCUCCUCAGAAAUAAUACAAUAUGGCAUUCUUUAGGCCAGGGAUAAGGCUUAACUUUUUCUUGCUUGUUUCUGUUGUAAGUUUGCUUUGCUCAAAGGCCUGUAUUUUUUCCACACAUUUGUUUUAAAAAUUCCAGCCUUAUUUCCUAUUCUGCCAUUGCACCAGCUUUGUCUCCUGUUUCCUAUAAAUGAUAUUUUUCACUGAGGUAGAUUAAGCUAUUCAAAUACCUUUAUGGUAAUGUGCUUCUAAACUACAUUCUGUAAUAAUUACUAAAGAUAUAUAUUGUAAAAAAUAAUUAUCCCAGUUUUGGUGUCAGAGAGAAAACUGAGACUGCCAGUUGCUACAUGGACAACCUCAGCUGAAAGGCCAACAAAAGCCACCACAGCUGGUUUGGGAAGUUUUGACUGCAUGUAUGUUAGUCUCUCUUCCAGCAAGAUAUAAGCUUUUAAUCCUCAGGACUUCCAGAGUCAGUGGACUCCUUUCCCUUAUCAUCUUCCCAUUUCUACCUGUCUAUGGGUAACAUUUGGUAGAGGUGGUACAUAAACCCUCUGGCUGCUUUCAUCAUUCUGUCAAAGGGACAAAAACAGUCAAAGUGCUGCAGCAAGAAAACAAAUGACCAAAUAGCUGUUGAAGCAGGAGGUUCCAACUCACUGGAGCUCAGCUUAUUACAGGCCAUAUGCCUGAGUGGCUCCUCUCACUGAGUGCUGCACCCAGAUACGGAAACAAGUGGGAAAGUGACUGUGGUUCAUCAGGCCUGGUUUUCUAUAACCAUAUGCAACUACUGAGAGCACAGAAAAUAAGAGCCUGAAAAGGCUGUGGGGCUAACAGGAGAGAGAAUCCUUGACAAAAUAUGACAUUAAUAUAUAAAUUUCCCAAAUAUUUAUACAACGAUCAUAAUAGGAAAUAAUAAUUUGGUAUUUCAAGCUCACAGUAGAUGAUCUUGUUUUAGUCCACAGGCUAUAUUCAUAGAUGAUGCAGCUUAAUAUAGGUAGGGAAAUAAAUGGGAAUGCUCUUCUACUUUUAAAUAUCUAGAUAUUUUUAAAUAUCAUGGGGUUGAAUUAAUAGUUUUUCUUUACAGAUACCAUUAGCUCAUGCCCUUUCAGCUAUGCUCAAUGUUUGCAGGGCUUGCUGUGUAAAUGAGGGACUAAGCAUAUGACUCAAGUCCUGAAUGACGGAUGUGUUACAGAGAUAGAAUGACAGAACUGCCAGAAUAAGGAGAACAGAAAGGGUGGAAGAAGUCUGUUUUUCACCUGGCAUUUCAGUUAUGUGUAUUUGGCAGAACUCUUUCCAAGAGCACUGAAGUGUCAGGCUCCAGCCAACCAUUUCUAUUUGGUGUUAGGAAGUCUUAAAGGGAAGCGGCCAUCAGCAACCAAGAGCUUGUUCUAGAGCUGCUAUAUUCCCCAUCCUCUCUGUAGAGUACUUAUUUCCUCACAGGAUUUAGUUGAUUAAAAACUUAUUCUAGAAGACAUGUUCCUGGGAAAGUGGCUUUGCUAAUUUGGAGAAAGUAUUCUUAGUCAGAAUAAUGACCAAUUCAAAAGGGUUUCCCCAAAAAAGAUGGUGUUUCAUGUGGCCAGCUCUGUGGCCUUUUAAUCCUCUAGAUUGGGGUUAUGUCAUCUGUCUAGUAGCUCUUUGCACACAUAAUUCACAAUAUUGUCAUAAUUCACUACAGCUACUUCCGUCCACCCACAUUUUGUAAAAAGGACAAUAACAAGCUUUAUUUCAUUUCAUUUCAUUUCAUUUCAUUUCAUUUCAUUUCAUUUCAUUUCAUUUCAUUUCAUUUCAUUUCAUUUCUACUCCUCCUCUAUGUGAAAGACUUCUAUCCUACCUUUGAAACCUUUCACCUUUAUUUUCCACUUUGGUGGCUUGUGCCUCCCCUUUUAUAUUGUCCAAUUGAAAGGGUUUUUUUUAUGGCUUGAGUACCUCGCUUAACUUUCCCAGCAGCACAUCAAGUAAGCAUGCCCUUUAUAACUAAAAUGAGCUGUACUGACACUACUGGUCUGCCUCUGGUUUGGUCUGAAACACUGUUACAUGAAAUGCUAGGAAGGUGUCUAGACAGAGUGCAGAGUAGGCACCACAUGCGCACUGUUAGAAGACAUUAGUAAUCCCUCAGUGUCAGUUGCUGUCCUCAUCUGUGUUAGUUCAAAGGGAAAAAAAAAGUAUGUGGCAGUGUUUUCACCUGCACAGGAUGGUUUAAACAGGCUUUCUUUUCAUGUAGCAAUAAGCAAAACUAGAUAUGCAAAGUUGAUUUCUUAGAAAUUAAAAAUAUUGUCUUACCAGUCCUAAUAAGUUUGCCAUCUUUUGCCUCUGUGUUGCAUAAAGGCCCAUUAAUUAUGCUGCUGUCUCUGAACAUGGUUCCAAAGAACAGGGUGACCACCUUUUUCAAUAAAAUUGCAGAUUUACAAUUUUCCAGCUCAGUGAAUUGCUGGUAUUUAAAUAUAUUGAAAGGCCAAUGCCAGACUGUUCUGCCUCCCUGUGCUGCAUUUUACCGGGAAGGAGAUGCUGGAAGGGUGCACGAGGAGAGAAAGAAAAGGAGCAGAGAAGAAAAAACACGGCGGGAAGGCAGGCAGAUAUGAUGAUAGGAAAAGCCUUUAAAAUCAGAAGGAAUUAGAGUGCCUGGAAGGACCUAAUGCUCAGAGUAAUGCUCCUGAGGGCACUUGAGUACUGCUGACAUUGGACAUCACUGGUGGAGGAAACAGCAUGGUAAUCUUCUGCUAACACUCAGCUGAAUCCCAGGAAACUGACUGAGAGGGUUUUAUAUUUGUUCUCUUUCACCAGGAAGAAGAACUGACUGAGCCCAACACAAGUGAUCUGUAAAGCCAGAAGGAGCCUUCUCCACUCGGAUGAUCACAGGUUAAUGUACCCCCACACUCACAAAAUGGAAAACUGGUGAAAAUAGAGAAGAGGAUCAUGAUAGUCUGAGUAGACAAUUCAGACAUUUCAUAGCAGUCCCCUGGACAAAGGCCGUAAAGUGGAGCCAUGCCAAGUCAAGAGACCUAAAGUUUUUUACAAGAACUCUUAUAUCAGCACUCAUGUCCCUCAGUUUUAACCUGCUGGAGUUAUGUAUAAUUAAUGUAGGGGUUGAGAAAGUCAUCUGACAUCAGCAUAAAGAAAAUGUUAAGCUUUCUUAGUUCCUAGUGCAUGAUUUUUAAGACAUUUUAAUCCCCUCCCUUUCAAGUGUGGAUUUACUGGGGAGGUCAAGGGGUCAUUAACACUUCCCCUGCUCCUCUACCAUUAACAGGCAAACUCAUCAAGGACUGGUGUUAGAUAGUAUUAUUUCAUUAAUGUACAUACCUGUACUUGGGUUUUUUCCUUCAGCCAAGUCCUCAUCAUCCUAUUUCUUUAACAGUAUUUGAAGCUUAGAAAUUAUCUUUCAUUUAAAUAUUAUCAGCUUAAAACAGACCUUACUGUUUUUAGAUAUUGCAGAUGUUCUGGGAGGAAGAGAGGAGGCUUGCCCAAAAUUGUUUUGCUUGCUAUUGCAAGGACCAGAGCCACAAUGGAGAAGAUGUUUCACCCUGUUGCACCAAUGACUGUACAUCGCUCUUUGGGUAGUAGAGAGGGGCAAGAUCAUAACUAGGCAACCUCUUGUUGGAGACUGACAAAACAGAUGAAACUAAAAUGGGAUAACUGGCACUGUAUCAAAUGUGGUAAAGCAAGGAUAAUUCCUCUGCCUGCUGUAGAGGCAGGAUGAUACCUGCCUACAUAUCUCUUUUUGAAAGUCACUUAAGGAUCCACUGUUUUUUACAGCCAAAUACCCCUCCAUAUGUAAAUUUAUUUAGUCAGUGUCAUUUUAUGGUUAUGUACACAAAGGCAGAAGAGCAUGACAUCACUAAGUGCACCCUCAGACACCAAGUAGAAUGGUAUGGUUGACACACCUGAAGGAAGGGAUGCCAGGAGGGACCUGGACAAGUGCAAAAAGUGGUUGCAUAGUAAUCUCAUGAGAUUUAAGAAGACUAAGUGCAUGGUAUGCACAUGGAUCAGGGCAACCCGUACUAUCAAUACAGACUGGGGAUGAACAGAUCAAAAGCCGGCCAAGAGGGGCUUGGGGGUGCUGGUGGAUGAGAGGCUGGACAUGGAAAAUGUGCACUUGCAGCCCAGAAAACCAAUCAUACCCUGGGCUGCAUCCAAAGCAGGAAGGGGAGGAGCCAAGCAUUUUUACCUAGGUAUAAUCUGAGAUUUAGAAAUACCACAGUCAACCUUUUCCCACUGGAUUCCCAGAGAAGAAGCCUUUUUGCCAGUGGAUUCCCAGAAGAAGACCAGGCCCAUCUACACCACCACCAGACCUUCAGAAGAAAAUUACACUCUUCUACAAGUUCAUUGUUUCAACAGAACCGCAUCUGUCACUAUAGGAGGACGGCAGCCACCAUUCAAUCAGACUGCUACCAACACCCUGACCAACAGGGUGUCAGGUUGUAUUCUGACUCUGUCAGUAUUGUUUUGUAUUUCUGCAUUUUUAUUUUUACUUUUAAGUUUCCUGAUAAAGAACUGCUAUUCUUACUCCCAUAUCUUUGCCUUCGAGCCCUUUAAUUCCAAAAUUAUAGUAAUUUGGAGGGAGGGUGUUUACAUUUUCCAUUUCAAGAGAAGUUCCUGCCUUCCUUAGCAGACACCUGUCUUUUCAAACCAAGACAACGGAUUUCCCAGAGAAAUUGUUAAUGUCCCAGGAAGUGUUCAAGGCCAGGUUGGAUGGGGCUUUGAGCAAUCUGGUCUAGUGAAAGGUGUCCCUGCCCAUGACAGGAGGGUUGGAGCGGGAUGAUUGUUAAGGUCUCUUCCAACCCAAACCAUUCAAUGAUUCUGUGAUUCUACGAUACUAUGACAUGGAGCCUAUUAAAGCCAGUAAAGCAUU